rnacentral:rRNA from 1 species
AUGGAUUACGAGGCAUCCAAGUUCCUGAUCAGGCACGCCCUGUGCACCAUCGGAUACAUGCUGGAUUCGGCGUCCGGGUUGGCGCGCCUGGCUACAUGCUUCCGGCACGCGAGACCCGAGGAGCGCUGGCGUUUCCAGGGUAUCGUCGUUAAAUACGCCGUAGAAAUGGCCAUGGAACGACACAGCAACUACUUUGUGCAGCUCGUCCUCGACCAUGGCGACAUUCAGUUCAGGUGCGGCCUCGUGUACAAGCUCAUGAUGCAGUUCGCCAGCCUUUCCCUCCACCCGCACGGGAACUACCUCGUGCAGCACUGCGUCCGGAACAGAAGGACUGGUUCGCCACAGCACGAUCUGCUGCCCAUCGUGCUCAGUGCUUGUAAUCGCCAGAGCAUAAGAGAACUCCAAGGGCUGGUGCAGACCCCCCCUGCCACCUUCGUCCUCCACACGCUGCUCCAGACAGGCGAAGCUGUAACUCACUCCCGGGAGUUGACGCAGAACCUGGAGCGGAAAAUCAACGACCUCCUCUGGCGUGCCCGGAGAUACCGUCGCUGA